GAUGAACGCUGGCGGCGUGCCUAAUACAUGCAAGUCGAGCGAACGGACGAGAAGCUUGCUUUUCUGAUGUUAGCGGCGGACGGGUGAGUAACACGUGGAUAACCUACCUAUAAGACUGGGAUAACUUCGGGAAACCGGAGCUAAUACCGGAUAAUAUUUUGUACCGCAUGGUUCAAAAGUGAAAGACGGUCUUGCUGUCACUUAUAGAUGGAUCCGCGCUGCAUUAGCUAGUUGGUAAGGUAACGGCUUACCAAGGCAACGAUGCAUAGCCGACCUGAUAGGGUGAUCGGCCACACUGGAACUGAGACACGGUCCAGACUCCUACGGGAGGCAGCAGUAGGGAAUCUUCCGCAAUGGGCGAAAGCCUGACGGAGCAACGCCGCGUGAGUGAUGAAGGUCUUCGGAUCGUAAAACUCUGUUAUUAGGGAAGAACAUAUGUGUAAGUAACUGUGCACAUCUUGACGGUACCUAAUCAGAAAGCCACGGCUAACUACGUG
rnacentral:rRNA from 1 species